UCCAGUUUUGGUGGUCUCGUCUAAAUUUUAUUAAAUUUGUUUCUAACAGAUUUGGGGGCUCGUCCCGGGAUCCCAACCUCCGGUCGCUCGGCAUUUUUGGGCAAACGGAGAAGGUGCACCUCGCUGAUUUCGGUGGUCUCUAGUCUCCCUCCUUGCCGCGGUGGCUUGGGCGAGCGUGAUCCGGACUGAGAGACCCUGGAAACAAGACGGGCAGACGCGGCGGGUUCGGUCGGGUGACUCUUGUGAUGCACAAGACCCGGGAAUAAAGGCCUGUUGGUACAGACACUGCCACUCGAGUUUGCAGCACAUCGGAUACGACUGGGUAAUUGGCUCCUGAUCAAGACCUGGAAAGACACCAAACUGCACCCGAGCUGGGAGGGACCAUUCCUAAUCCUCCUGACUACUGAGACAGCUAUCCGGGCUGCUGAGAAAGGGUGGAGUCAUCACACUCGCGUUAAAGGUCCUGUGAACGCCCCCAUCGGCGGAGUGGCACGCUCAUCCUACAGACAACCCUCUGAAAGAUAAGCUGAGAAAGAAGGAAUGAACUGAGACAAAAGACUUUUUUUAACGUUUGAUCGUUAUUGAUUGUAAGGGUUGCGUGGGCUCACCUCUCCCUGGCGCCCAAAAAGAUUAAGACAGAUAGACAGGACGAUAGGCAGGGGUCAGAGAUGGGCGGGUACUGGUAUAGUAUUGUAACAUUAGUAGUAUUAACUGUUCAAGGAGGCGGGAAAAAUCACUUCACUUCACUGUGCCAAAAUUAUGCUAAACAAGAGGGACUUGCCGACUGUUGGGUCUGUGCAGAGGGCCCACACCAUGGCAAUUCUGGGAUGCCCACCUCGGUAAUACCACUCACCAAAAGAGAAGUGGAGUUUUGACAGGGGUAAAUAUAACUUUGCGGGGUGGUUCCCUCAACCAGCCCGGAAAAACCCAGGGUGCUAUCGAUGGCCUUAGAGUUUCCCCACCGAAAGGAGCAGUAAAUACCACCCUGUUUCUGUAAUCAGAAUGACGCCGCACCCUUCCAAUUAGGAAAAUCAUCUUGUGUCUACACCAGCCAAGCCACUGGCACGACCGUUCCCCUUAUAUUAAACGGAACAUAUUGGGUAUGUGGCCUGAAGGCCUAUCCAUUUAUUCCCGGGGAAAAAUACAUUCGCAUGACCGAAUGUAUAGGAAUGCAUGCAUGUUAUGAUGUUGACGAAACACUGCCUCAAAGCCAGAAAGGCUGGAGUGGCUGCUGUUACCUCGCUUAUAUAGUUCCUCACGUCCGAUUAAGAAAAACAUGAGCACAAGCUGAGAAAGGAGGGGGGAAUAAGACAUCAGGCCCGAGGGGUCUCUGAAGGAGACCGUCUGUUGUGGACACUAUUCCCAAACUACGGCGCUGCAAGGGCAGGGGUAGAAAUACAGAAACGGGCCGCUGCCCUUGAGAAGUUAAUUAAUGAUACCGUCGACGCAAUGGGAGAAACUCAGUCCCAAAUAUCGGCCAUGACCACCGAAAUGAUUGCUACAAGACUAACAGCUUUACAGAAUCGAAUGGCUUUAGACUAUCUCUUGGCCGAGAAAGGGAAAUCUGUCCUCUGAUUGGUAAGGAAUGCUGCACCUUCAUCCCAGGCACCUCUUCCACAGUGGAAGAUAAGGCAGAAAUAGUAAA